ACUGACACCCGCAAGAAGCAAGACCCCGGCACCGUACUGCGUGCGCGCUGGGAAUCCUCGUGGGCGCUCUGGCCGCGCGAGCAGUGUCGGCGCCACGGGUCAAGGAGACAAGGUGGGGGUGGCAGGGGGAGGUGAAAGGAAGGAUGCGAGAUGAAGACACGGAGCAGGAGGGCUGAGGGCGAGGCUUCCGCCUGCAUUCCCCGACUUCGCGGUCCGAGAGGCCGAGAGCGGCGGGGAGGGGACUUCGUUGGCCCUGGGCUUCCCCGAACUCCCGAGCGCGGCGCGGGAGCCCUCGCCCUGCGUACUUACUGCUCACGGAGACCCGUUCUGGAGAGAAAGGGCUGAGAACCCGGAGGCGGCGGCGGCGGCGGCGAGCCGGGGCUGCUGGUUCGCAGGGCGGCUAGCUCGCGAGGAGGCGCGGCCAGAGCGGUGGGACCGGUAACACCAAGAGCCGAGAAGACGCAGGGACCCGGGACCGCGCGCGGGAGGAAACGCGGCGGCCGCCCAAGCUGUCACCUCCAGCCUCUCCCCUCUCGGCCGCCUCUGCCAGCAGCCAGAGCCGGACUCACUGACAAGCCGCAGAGAGAGACACACUGAGAGGGAGAUGAUUAUUAGUUGCGUUGAGUCAUCAGGCAAAGACCCCGAGGGCUCUCCCACAUCUCCCGCAGCAAGAGCCACCGAUCCCCCUUAAGAAGCGUUGACUGUACGGCGGCGCCAGAGGGCCAAACUAAGUUCGGUUUCGGGAAACGCUCUCGGGAGCAGUUCUGUAAAUCCCUGCUGGGAGCAGAGACUGCGAAAAGCUGAGUCCGCCGAUCGUGCCCGGGACAAGGCUGCCUUCCACUCGCCCUCGCCGCAUCUACCUGGUAGGCGGCAUGCGCACGGGCUUAGAGGCUUGAGAGCCUCUGGAAGAGAAAGGGUCCCAGGAAGGAAACCUGCCCCCGGCCUAAGUGUCGGCGCCCAGAUCACCACGAACCCCGCACCUAGGCGCCGCCCACCAAGUUCCAAAGAAGUCCGAGGCGACCUGGGAGUCGGUCGGAUCCCAGCCGAGAAAAGAAACAAGCAGGAUAGCAAUUCUUAGGGGAGCCACCCUGGGAGUUUUAGGCAGCGUUUGCCUUUCCCUGGUUUUCUUCACCAAGCCCCAUCCUCCCCCCGCAUACCACCCCCAGUCAAAAGAGUGGGAGAAAAUGCACAGUUCGAAGUCGGUGAGAGCAAAAAUGGGUCUAGUAAAUCAACCCGUGGUGGUAGCUAAAAGGUUUGGGGCUGCAAAGAAACAAACUGUAAGUUUUGAGCAACAAACUUUUUCUUCAAUCUGUAAUAUGUCGAAAUGGGAAGGGGGUGUUGCAAAAGCCAACUACCACUGUCAAACUUAGCCCGUUUACAACAUGGGGAAAGGCGUAUUUCUUACUAAUAUCUCAACAACGAUAACAAUGCUGUAUCCUUCCUUACCUUGAUGUUGAACUGCGAAUCCUCCUCCGGAUCAAUGUCCAGGAACUUAGAAGAAUUGGUGAUAUUAGGAGUUCAGUACUUCUGGAAAAAAAUGCAAAUGGUUUAGCCAGGAUCUUUCCUGUCUGAUUCGUCACUAUUAUUAUAUCUGAUGAUGCGAAUGGUUGGAGCGAUUCAAUCCUAAGUCAUUAAUGAGCUAUUUUAUAAACACCACUGUCUGAAGAUCUUCAUUUACAUUUUGCUAAGGAUCACUUCGCUAACCUCACAGGCUUGUGUCAACAGCAUGAUUUGCAGGACUUCAGUUACACUCUUAUAAACAACACGGCUGUAUUGUUAAUCGGUUAAUAUUUUAUAAAGUGUAAAUAUUUUAUUAUGUUUUGAAGGGAACUAUUGAUUCUAAAUUAUUAAACCCCUGAGAAGGACUAUUUAAAUGAAAUAUACAAUUAAGUACAAUUAAAUGUACAUUGUGGUUAGUUUGUUUUCAGAUUCUGCACCCUUUUAAAUUCAUUGCUUUUCUCUUUACUGGAGUUUCCUCUUGUCCAUUUCUGAUACUGAAAAAAAUCUAUCAUGUUAGGAAAAAGCCUAAAUUAUUUAAAGUUGCAUUAAACUUAGAGGAAAAUGUCAAAUACGAUUAAUUAUGACCAGAAAUGUAUUUUGGAUGUUUGUAGAGUUGUAUUUCAUAUCACAUUUUACAAAUUUCUUCCGAUUUAAAGGAGAGUUCUAGGAAGUUUUGUGAUCUAUGUCCGGUGUGGGUUUUUGUCCUCUCGAGUUUUGUCUCUAAUAAAGGCCUUUUUUGUUUCAAAUUACAUACGCUUUUUACUGCACAAUUUUUGUAUUGACCUUAUUUCAACUGAAGCGAUUAUUUCCAGCAGGUUUAAUUUCGACAAUAAGAUAUAUUUUAAUAGUUUUACCUUUCGCUAGAAUUUUGUAUUGUUUAAAACAGUAAAUGAAUAAAUUUGCUGAUGAUUCAAGAAUAUUUGUUUGGUUUCGUUUUGUAUCCCUCAAAAGGUUUAUUUCCAAACUUUUUAAAACAAAAUCACGAGAAAAGAGUUGUUUUAAUUACGUUUGAUUUUUAAAAAUACUUUUAUCUAAAACCCAUUUUGUGCAUUAGGAGAUAGUUUGCUUCCAUGCUCAAAACAUGGAGUUCACAUCUGGGGGACAUUUUUAUCCCUCAGUUUCCUUCUAACUGACGUUUUUGUCGGGAAUCUGCUCAGACUUUUCCCCUUUUCUUCACCCACCUCCCAAGUUUUCCUUAUGUAAUUUAGUAAAAGGCCGCCUGUUUUUCACAAACACGGAUUUGUUAUUUUAAAAAUCAAUAGAUCUUUAUAUGCUAGUGUUAAAGGUGUAUGGUUUUUCUUAUUUCCAUCUUCUCUCCUUUUCUCUCUGUCAGGCCUUCUUUUAUGGCCUGCACUCUAAUGACGUUUCUUGAUUUCUCUUUGUCGACACCAAGUUUUUGUUGUGCGUGCUUUCGACCCUGGUCAACCUUCCUUCCUAGAGGCCCGCUCCGGACAGCGUAGGCCUGGGCGCCUGGGUGGAGGGUGCAGGGUGCCGGGCGCGGGACUUCGGCUCUCGCCUGGGCCAUCCCGGGCUCUGAGGGCCCGGCAUCCAUCCCCAAGGUCCAUGGCUUUCAAGUUCGGUCACCCAGGCAGAGAGACCCUGCCUUUUAAAGAGCCCUGGAAAGUUGCGCCGCGUUUUCCCUCAACCCUGGAACACGCAGGGAAAACUAUGGGAAUCGCCCGCGUCAAAAGCUUUCGACGGCUUCUAGGAACCCAAGCGGGCCUGCCUCUUCCCCUGGAGCUUGCCCUCCUGGGGGCGGGAGGAGGGCGGGAGGGAAUCAUUUCUUUCAAAUGAAGCCCACGCCAGCUCUGAAGCCAAUUUCCGCCGCGGACUGUCCGUGGAGAGUUGGCGACCAACACUUUCUCGGACGGCAUAACCGCGAGGGGCUUAGACUGGAAAUCAGAUGCGCCAAGAGGACAAGAGCCAGGGGCCAGAAUACCCCAGUGGGGGACGCGCCUUGGAGGACGGUUCGCCCAGGGUGGGCUUCAGCCCUUUCCCAGAGUGCUCCGGGCGUCUGGGGACUGACCGGAGCGCAGGGCGGGGGACACUUACUUCGUUAUCCGCACGCCUUCCUCGUUGGCAUCAGAGCCGGACAAAUCCCAACCCGCGCCAGGCAAAGAUAAAUGACUCCUGGCUCCCCCGGCAGCUCAGGGGGUCUGGGCGGGGGCGGAGAGGGAAGGAAGCCGUCGGCCGCCGGAGGUAGAGACUGUGGAGGUCCUCCUCCCGGCCCCAAGCGAAUGAGCCCCUGCGGCCCGAGCAGAGAGAUACGCCUCAGAGGGACGACUGAUGGGGAAGGAUGGUGGGCAACGAGUCUGCGCUAGGCG
rnacentral:lncRNA from 1 species